AAUGUUUCUUGGCUUUUUAGCUAUAAUUAAGUGUAGUAUCAGUUCCUAUCAGUUUAAAGCCUGCUAUGUUGUCUUUCACUCAAAGACAAUAUACUAAGUGGAUUUUUGGAGCAGGGGGAUAGCAUAGAUGCUUCCUCCAUCCACUCACUCCACACAUCACCUUGGUAUUGUAGUACCUCCAGGAAUGGUGUGCUAAAA
rnacentral:snRNA from 1 species